rnacentral:lncRNA from 1 species
AGACGCAUCUUUAUCCAUAUUUUUAGUUAUUGACAGCUGACAAACGACGACACGUCUCCACCUCAAAAUUCAUUAUGUGACCUCUUAAACAAGUUUAAGAUUUCAACCGGUCUAUCUCUUUAUUUACCCCUUUUUUCUAAGACCUCCUCAAACGUUCCCCGAUGAUUUAGAUAAAGAAAUUCUAGACAACAUAGCCGAAGGGGCUAUUUGCAAAGUAGUAGAAAUGAGUUCCUCAUAUUCAAAUUCCUCCAAUAGCAACAACAAUGGGUGAUGCCACUAGCACCCGCACCAUCUAUGGUCGUCCAUACGACUAUGACCCAGGACACGCCAUCAAGACUUUUGAAGGGCAAAUAAAAGAUAAUUGAACUAGACAGCGCAUCUUUCAAAUCUAGAAAGGGUAAAAAAAGAUUAUCGAUAUUGAUAUGGAACUUCCUAACACAACGACUCUUCUCCUCCCCAUACAAAAGAUUCUAAUUGUGAGGCAUCUAAAGAGGAGCCAGAGACGCGACCUUCGAAGACUUAGCAAAUGAAGACAUUGUUAUGAAGGAAAAAGCCGAGUUUCAGGACGCACUUUCUAAAAAGACCCCGGAAACUUUUCCCGAACUUUAUGAACAUCCCCCUAUCGAAGAAUGGAAGGAGAAAUCACGAAGAUAGAAACAUAUCAUCUUCCAAAAAAUAUCGAAGAUAAACAAAGAAUGAAGAAAAACUGACAUGUGGAGACCAGACCUCCAUCAUUUCUUGGAAAGAAUUAGAAUAGGUGAUGGACUACUACGAGUUGAAGAGAAAAUUUAUAGCCCCCUAUUAGGAAGGAAACCACAC